rnacentral:ncRNA from 2 species
ACCUCAGACACGGGGUGCGCAACUACAUCGUGCCAAACAACAAUACAUAUAGUGUUGCGCUGAGAAUACACUCGUUGAACCUGAUAUAGCUAAAACUAUCGAAGGGAUUGUCGCAUGACUUACAG